rnacentral:tRNA from 1 species
GGGUCCGUGGCGGAAUUGGCAGACGCAGCGGCCUUAAAAGCCGCAGCCCCGAUAGGGGCGUGUGGGUUCGAGUCCCACCGGGCCUA